rnacentral:tRNA from 1 species
AUCUUUCUAGUACAAUACAGUAUGAGUGGCUUCCAACCAUUCGAUCUUGGUUAAACCCCAGGGAAGGAUA